rnacentral:tRNA from 1 species
GCCACUGUAGCUCAGCGGUGGAGCGGCGGUUUCGUAAACCGCAGGUCGAGGGUUCGAACCCCUCCAGUGGCUCCA